rnacentral:rRNA from 1 species
UACGUAGGGGGCAAGCGUUGUCCGGAAUUAUUGGGCGUAAAGAGCGUGUAGGCGGUCCGGUAAGUCAGCUGUCGAAAGUCAAGGGCUCAACCCUUGAAAGCCGGUUGAUACUGUUCGGGCUAGAGUCCGGAAGAGGCGAGUGGAAUUCCCGGUGUAGCGGUGAAAUGCGUAGAGAUGAGCGGAGGAACACCGAUGGCGAAGGCAGCCCCCCUGGGCUAGCACUUGACGCUCAGGCACGAAAGCGUGGGGAGCAAACAGG